GCAGAGGGCACGAGGACGUGAGUGGGGAGGAACGGGUGGGAGGGGGAGCUAGAGGACUUUCAUGGAGAGGUUACAAGGAAAGCAUCAGAAUGAGGGGGUAACGGGCAGGUUGAAGAUGAGGAGGCGAAAGGCAUCGUAUUAAGGGGGAAGGGGAGGAGGCGAGCAAGGGAGCGGGAAGGGGAGAAAGGGAGAGGGGAGCAGAUUAGGAGGGAAAGUGGGUAGCGAGGAUGGGGCCAGAAUGAGAGUAGGGAUUGAGGCAGGAAAGGGGCUGGCUGACCCAUCUGACUUUGGAAGAAACGGGAGCUGGGGGCUUUGAAGAACAGGCCCUGGGUGCGAGCAGCUUCUCUCCCCCAGCCCCACCAGGUCCAAGAUGCCCAGGAUCCAACACCGCCGUGGAAUGGGUGCCAGGAAUCCGCACGAGCCGGGCCGACGGGGUCCAGGCAUUUUCCAGUUUCUCAGUAAUUGGCUAACAACCAGUGAUAACAGAAGUUGUAUCAGGAAACAAAUGUAAACCCUUGCCUUUAUUCAGCGAAGUUUUGAGAGCAGAUACAAUGUUGCUUCAUUAAAAAUCGUUAAGACUCUUCUUUUAGGUUCUUUGCUUUUCCUGGAAAAUUAGACCAAUGGAUGUGACCUGCUCAGGCAGACACUGCUUGCAGCUGAAUCACAGGCCUUCAUUCUGCUUUCCUUUAGCUCAGAUAAGCUGGGAGGAAAAAGUGAGCCCAAAAGUAAAUUUCUGUUUGAGAUAAAAUCUUUUAAUUUCUUCUGUGAGCCUAUUUGGGUCCUUAGUUGAAGACAGGACGUAAAUGCUUGUUUAUUGAAGUGGUGAGAGCACAUGAAGUUGUUGAAAGAAAAAAAGGCCAUGCCCUACCAGGAGAAUCAUAUUCUUCCCUAUUCAGAGAGAGAGGAAUGGCAUAAGUGGCCCUCUUUGGCUCCUUAGAUAAGUACAGUGGUGGACAACUCUGGAGGUAUGGGGGAUAGUGAUCUGGUCAAUGUUGUACUAUGUUGCAUUUUAAAGUUCUAAAUCUAGAUAUAUGAUGGAACCUUGGUUCUUGAACAUAACUUGUUCUGGAAGGCUGUUCAAGAAGUGAUUUGUUUGAAAACCAAAUCAUUUUUUCCCCAUCAGAAAUAAUGCAAGUUGAAUUAAUCCUUUCCAGACUCACAAAUAAUUCCGUUUUAACCUUUCUUAUAUACUGUUUAAUCUAUAAAUAAACACUUCUUUUCUUAAAUUUA